CGCGGAGUAGAGCAGUGGUAGCUCGUCGGGCUCAUAACCCGGAGGUCGGAAGUUCGACUCUUCCCUCCGCAA
rnacentral:tRNA from 1 species